rnacentral:rRNA from 1 species
AUACUGCAAGUCGAGCGAAUGGAUUAAGAGCUUGCUCUUAUGAAGUUAGCGGCGGACGGGUGAGUAACACGUGGGUAACCUGCCCAUAAGACUGGGAUAACUCCGGGAAACCGGGGCUAAUACCGGAUAACAUUUUGAACCGCAUGGUUCGAAAUUGAAAGGCGGCUUCGGCUGUCACUUAUGGAUGGACCCGCGUCGCAUUAGCUAGUUGGUGAGGUAACGGCUCACCAAGGCAACGAUGCGUAGCCGACCUGAGAGGGUGAUCGGCCACACUGGGACUGAGACACGGCCCAGACUCCUACGGGAGGCAGCAGUAGGGAAUCUUCCGCAAUGGACGAAAGUCUGACGGAGCAACGCCGCGUGAGUGAUGAAGGCUUUCGGGUCGUAAAACUCUGUUGUUAGGGAAGAACAAGUGCUAGUUGAAUAAGCUGGCACCUUGACGGUACCUAACCAGAAAGCCACGGCUAACUACGUGCCAGCAGCCGCGGUAAUACGUAGGUGGCAAGCGUUAUCCGGAAUUAUUGGGCGUAAAGCGCGCGCAGGUGGUUUCUUAAGUCUGAUGUGAAAGCCCACGGCUCAACCGUGGAGGGUCAUUGGAAA